rnacentral:ribozyme from 1 species
ACGGACCACGGUUCUGUAAAAGGGUUGGAUCCGACGCCUUUUGAAGGCUACUAUAGGCUCUCCUUCUCAACUCCUACUCAAUACGUCCACGUCGUGCAGAACGGUAACUUGUCGCC